UACGGAGGGUGCAAGCGUUGUCCGGAAUCACUGGGCGUAAAGGGCGCGUAGGCGGCUCAUGAAGGCUGUGGUGAAAGUCCGGGGCUCAACCUCGGAUCGGCCGUGGCGACUCGUGGGCUGGAGCACUGUAGAGGCGGGUGGAAUUCCGGGUGUAGCGGUGGAAUGCGUAGAGAUCCGGAAGAACACCAAUGGCGAAGGCAGCUCGCUGGGACGUGACUGACGCUGAGACGCGAAAGCGUGGGGAGCAAACAGGG
rnacentral:rRNA from 1 species